rnacentral:rRNA from 1 species
CUCUGUGACUCCUACGGGAGGCAGCAGUGGGGAAUAUUGCUACAAUGGGCGCAAGCCUGAUGCAGCCAUGCCGCGUGUAUUGAAGAAGGCCUUCGGGUUGUAAAGUACUUUCAGCAGUGAGGAAGGUGGUAGUGUUAAUAGCACUAUCAUUUGACGUUAGCUGCAGAAGAAGCACCGGCUAACUCCGUGCCAGCAGCCGCGGUAAUACGGAGGGUGCGAGCGUUAAUCGGAAUUACUGGGCGUAAAGCGCAUGCAGGUGGUUUGUUAAGUCAGAUGUGAAAGCCCGGGGCUCAACCUCGGAAUUGCAUUUGAAACUGGCAGACUAGAGUACUGUAGAGGGGGUAGAAUUUCAGGUGUAGCGGUGAAAUGCGUAGAGAUCUGAAGGAAUACCGGUGGCGAAGGCGGCCCCCUGGACAGAUACUGACACUCAGAUGCGAAAGCGUGGGGAGCAAACAGGAUUAGAUACCCUGGUAG